GGGUCGGUAGCUGAGACGGUGCAAGCGCCUGGCUGAAGACCAGGAGACGAGGAUUCGAGCGCCUCACGACCCA
rnacentral:tRNA from 1 species